rnacentral:rRNA from 1 species
AUAGAAAGAUUAAACUGAAGAGUUUGAUCAUGGCUCAGAUUGAACGCUGGCGGCAGGCUUAACACAUGCAAGUCGAACGAUGAUUAUCUAGCUUGCUAGAUAUGAUUAGUGGCGGACGGGUGAGUAACAUUUAGGAAUCUGCCUAGUAGUGGGGGAUAGCUCGGGGAAACUCGAAUUAAUACCGCAUACGACCUACGGGUGAAAGGGGGCGCAAGCUCUUGCUAUUAGAUGAGCCUAAAUCAGAUUAGCUAGUUGGUGGGGUAAAGGCCCACCAAGGCGACGAUCUGUAACUGGUCUGAGAGGAUGAUCAGUCACACCGGAACUGAGACACGGUCCGGACUCCUACGGGAGGCAGCAGUGGGGAAUAUUGGACAAUGGGGGCAACCCUGAUCCAGCCAUGCCGCGUGUGUGAAGAAGGCCUUUUGGUUGUAAAGCACUUUAAGCAGGGAGGAGAGGCUAAUGGUUAAUACCCAUUAGAUUAGACGUUACCUGCAGAAUAAGCACCGGCUAACUCUGUGCCAGCAGCCGCGGUAAUACAGAGGGUGCGAGCGUUAAUCGGAAUUACUGGGCGUAAAGCGAGUGUAGGUGGCUCAUUAAGUCACAUGUGAAAUCCCCGGGCUUAACCUGGGAACUGCAUGUGAUACUGGUGGUGCUAGAAUAUGUGAGAGGGAAGUAGAAUUCCAGGUGUAGCGGUGAAAUGCGUAGAGAUCUGGAGGAAUACCGAUGGCGAAGGCAGCUUCCUGGCAUAAUAUUGACACUGAGAUUCGAAAGCGUGGGUAGCAAACAGGAUUAGAUACCCUGGUAGUCCACGCCGUAAACGAUGUCUACUAGCCGUUGGGGUCCUUGAGACUUUAGUGGCGCAGUUAACGCGAUAAGUAGACCGCCUGGGGAGUACGGCCGCAAGGUUAAAACUCAAAUGAAUUGACGGGGGCCCGCACAAGCGGUGGAGCAUGUGGUUUAAUUCGAUGCAACGCGAAGAACCUUACCUGGUCUUGACAUAGUGAGAAUCCUGCAGAGAUGCGGGAGUGCCUUCGGGAAUUCACAUACAGGUGCUGCAUGGCUGUCGUCAGCUCGUGUCGUGAGAUGUUGGGUUAAGUCCCGCAACGAGCGCAACCCUUUUCCUUAUUUGCCAGCGGGUUAAGCCGGGAACUUUAAGGAUACUGCCAGUGACAAACUGGAGGAAGGCGGGGACGACGUCAAGUCAUCAUGGCCCUUACGACCAGGGCUACACACGUGCUACAAUGGUAGGUACAGAGGGUUGCUACACAGCGAUGUGAUGCUAAUCUCAAAAAGCCUAUCGUAGUCCGGAUUGGAGUCUGCAACUCGACUCCAUGAAGUCGGAAUCGCUAGUAAUCGCAGAUCAGAAUGCUGCGGUGAAUACGUUCCCGGGCCUUGUACACACCGC